CAGGUGACGCACAUUCCCUGGGUAGCAUGAAACUUGCUUCCUUGGCGACUGUUCACCGAGAUU
rnacentral:snoRNA from 1 species